CUCAGGAUGAAGCUAGAGAAAGGAGGAAGGGGAGAAGGAGAGUCCUGGAGAGGAAAGUCAGAGAGAAGUUGGGGUUUAGGACAGGCGUCAAAUCCCAAAUUUUAUUUCAUUGGCCAUGAAUGUAUUUCAUUUGAUUUCUUUUUUAUGUAACAGCUUCAUCCUCUAUCCAAAGGACAUGCCCUUGGAAAAAGAGAGAUCUCUUCUAUGAAUCAAAUUCUCACUGGAGUGAGCCAGAAGCUGCACUAUUUCUGACUGCUAUAUUUUGGAAGAAAAGGAGCUUCAAUUCUGGUUGGGGAAUUGGACCUGCCUGACAAGAUACCCUAUGGAUCCAUUUCCAAAGGCAGGGAUCAUAGACACAGGACUAGACAAGGGAGGGCAGCAGAAGAAGUCCAUGAAACAUACUUUGGUGCCUGUUCCAGGGCUCGAUGGUAUCAGUGCUUCCUGAAUUCCUUGAAGCUGAAUCCAGAAAUAAUGAUAGAGAUCAUUAAAAACUCUUCAGCUUCAUUAAUACUUCUUCCAAAUUUCUCCAGUUGUAUCCAAAGAGAAAACACUGAAAAUCACAAUGAGGAGAUCUGCAGAGUUUCUCCAGCUCUCCUUACAUCCCCCCCCCCCCAAUUCCUGGAGCUGAACCUCUGUGCCCAUUCCUGUGAAAUACAGAAAUAGUGACUCCAUGGGCUCACAAACCCAUUGUUAAUUCCAGAGUCUCCGAGGGAGCCUAAGAAAAAAAAUUACCUUUGAAAAGCACCAGAAGGAAGAGGAGCUCCCUGCCAAAUCUCAUGCUGGUGAUCUGAGGUAGAAAGCAAAUGAUUUAGGAAUGGAGUCGAAAGGAGGUGAUGUGAGAG
rnacentral:lncRNA from 1 species